UUCGCAAUGCCCGAAAGGGUGACGAUGCGACGCCGCGUGAGCGAAGAAGGCCCUAGGGUUGUAAAGCUCUGUCGAGGGUUAUGAAAUAUAGAUGGGUUAAUACCCCAUUUAUUUGACAAAAGCCCAAAAGGAAGCCACGGCUAACUCUGUGCCAGCAGCCGCGGUAAUACAGAGGUGGCGAGCGUUGUUCGGUAUUAUUGGGCGUAAAGAGCACGUAGGUGGGUUUGCAAGUCAGAUGUGAAAGCCUCCUGUUCAACGGGAGAAUUGCAUCUGAAACUGCAGAUCUUGAGUGUAGGAGGGGAGAGUGGAACUUCUGGUGGAGCGGUGAAAUGCGUAGAUAUCAGAAGGAACGUCGGCGGCGAAAGCGACUCUCUGGCCUAUUACUGACACUGAGGUGCGAAAGUUAGGGGAGCAAACGGGAUUAGAUACCCCGGUAGUCCUAACCGUAAACGAUGGGCACUAAGUAGAGGGGUUUU
rnacentral:rRNA from 1 species